CGCCUGUUUAUCAAAAACAUCUUUUCUUGUUAGUUUUUGAAGUAUGGCCUGCCCACUGACGUUUAUAGAGGUUGAAGGGCCGCGAGUAUUUUGACCGUGCAAAGGUAGCAUAAUCAUUAGUUCUUUAAUUGUGAUCUGGUAUGAAUGGCUUGACGAGAUAUGAGCUGUCUUAAAGGUAUUUUCUAUUGAAUUUAUUUUUUGAGUUAAAAUUCUUAGAUGUUUUUAUGGGACGAGAAGACCCUAUAGAGUUUUACAUCUAGCUCUUCCUUCUUAUUAUGUUUGUUUAUUUAUUUUGAGUUGGUUAGGUGUUUUGUUGGGGUGAUGGGAGGAACAAAAUUAACUCCUCUUUAUUUUGUAUAUUUAUUUAUAUUUGUUUGAUCCAUUUAUUUUGAUUUAAGAUUAAUUACCUUAGGGAUAACAGCGUAA
rnacentral:rRNA from 1 species